rnacentral:lncRNA from 11 species
GUGGAAGCGGAAGGGCCGCUGCCCGCCCUGCUCUCUUCACCCGGCGCCCCCUCCGCGCCCUCCCCCGCGCCGGCCCGCCGCCCCUCCCGCCCGGAACACCAGACAACGCCUCUGCUUCCCGCCGCUGCCCUUCGCGCCUGCCCAGCCCACCGCGAACCCCCUGCAACACGCCCACCCAGGAGGACGAGUGAUGAGUUUAUCUCCGGCACCAUUAUCACUCUUAAUCAAAGCUGCUCCCAUCCUCACAGAAGAGAUGUACGGGGACAUCCAGCCUGCAGCAUGGGAACUGUUACUUAGCAUGGAUGAGCACAUGGCUGGUGCAGCAGCUGCCAUGUUCCUUCUGUGUGCUGUGAAAGUGCCCGAGGCAGUGUCAGAUAUGCUGAUGUCUGAAUUUAAUCACCCCGAGGCAGUGCAGAGGUUGAAUGCUAUACUCAAGUUCCACACCCUCUGGAGAUUUAGGUAUCAGGUCUGGCCUCGGAUGGAGGAAGGAGCUCAGCAGAUCUUUAAGGUAAUUUAUGGCACUGUCUGGUGUAAUAAUAAGACUGGAAUAUUACUCAAAUCAUAUCCCUGACUCAGGGCCGGUUUAAACUAUGAGGCCCGUUACGCUGCCGCCUCGGGCGCACACCGCUAGGGGCGCCGCUACCGCCGCGCUGCCGCCGCGCUGCCGCCGCCGCUGCCACCCGCAAAGUGCGAAAGUUGCUGGGCGCACGUGCGGAUCGGCCGAGCCAAGGCCAUGAGCCGCGGAGGCAGCGCUCGUGUUUCUCUCGCUCCCUCCUGCGCCUGAAGUGAGGGGGUGCCUGGGCCGGCUCGGAGGCUGCUGAGGGAAAAGGAGGCCACGGGAAAGAUGCGCGGCGGAGUGGAGGCCUGGAGGGGAGCCUGAGGUGGAGGAAGGCCCCGACCGACUGCAGCCACUGGGCCAUGAGCCGCACGUGGGGCCGCCUCUGAAGCCGCUGCUCCAAACGAAGAGCAUGCUCUGGACCCAGCCCGGCUUUCUCCAGGUAAGGCCUCCCCACGGCCCCCGUCCCUUCGGGCCCGGGCUCUGCAGCAUUCGCCCUCCUCGGCCUGCUUCCUGAGGAGUCAUGAACUUGCUUGAGC